ACAGAUGGGAGCUUGCUCCCUGAUGUUAGCGGCGGACGGGUGAGUAACACGUGGGUAACCUGCCUGUAAGACUGGGAUAACUCCGGGAAACCGGGGCUAAUACCGGAUGGUUGUUUGAACCGCAUGGUUCAGACAUAAAAGGUGGCUUCGGCUACCACUUACAGAUGGACCCGCGGCGCAUUAGCUAGUUGGUGAGGUAACGGCUCACCAAGGCGACGAUGCGUAGCCGACCUGAGAGGGUGAUCGGCCACACUGGGACUGAGACACGGCCCAGACUCCUACGGGAGGCAGCAGUAGGGAAUCUUCCGCAAUGGACGAAAGUCUGACGGAGCAACGCCGCGUGAGUGAUGAAGGUUUUCGGAUCGUAAAGCUCUGUUGUUAGGGAAGAACAAGUGCCGUUCAAAUAGGGCGGCACCUUGACGGUACCUAACCAGAAAGCCACGGCUAACUACGUGCCAGCAGCCGCGGUAAUACGUAGGUGGCAAGCGUUGUCCGGAAUUAUUGGGCGUAAAGGGCUCGCAGGCGGUUUCUUAAGUCUGAUGUGAAAGCCCCCGGCUCACCCGGGGAGGGUCAUUGGAAACUGGGGAACUUGAGUGCAGAAGAGGAGAGUGGAAUUCCACGUGUAGCGGUGAAAUGCGUAGAGAUGUGGAGGAACACCAGUGGGCGAAGGCGACUCUCUGGUCUGUAACUGACGCUGAGGAGCGAAAGCGUGGGGAGCGAACAGGAUUAGAUACCCUGGUAGUCCACGCCGUAAACGAUGAGUGUAAGUGGGUAGGGGGUUUCCGCCCCUUAGUGCUGCAGCUAACGCAUAAGCACUCCGCCUGGGGGAGUACGGUCGCCAGACUGAAACUCAAGGGAAAUUGACGGGGGCCCGCACAGGC
rnacentral:rRNA from 1 species